CUGCGAGUCAUAAAUACCUGGAUGAAAGCUCCAGGAAGCUCCAGGAUCCAAUACCUUUUAUUGAAAUAUAGGAACCUGACAACAUUGUAAGGGGAUGUCUUCACAUCAAAAAUGAUUGGAAUGAUUCUUGGAAUGACAAUGGUGGCUGAUGAAAUUAUGGUGAAAUUCUUAUGGCGGGGUACUAAAGUCCCCAUUUUGAGUUUGAUACCAACUCUUUUCUCUAUAAAUACCACCUCCUGACCCAUGUAUCUCUGCCCACUUAAAGGAACACUUAAGUC